ACACAUCUAUCUGAUAGACCUGAAGCAGUUAGUGUCUGCUGUUAAGGUUUCCACUAGCGAUGCAAGAAAAAUGUGUCCUUGUGUGCUGUGUCUGAUUGUGACAGCCAAGAUUAAAUAGAGGAAUGCAAGA
rnacentral:snoRNA from 1 species